AGCGAACGCUGGCGGCAGGCUUAACACAUGCAGGUCGAGCGGGCAUCUUCGGGUGUCAGCGGCGGACGGGUGAGUAACGCGUGGGAACGUGCCUUCUGGUUCGGAAUAACUCAGGGAAACUUGAGCUAAUACCGGAUACGCCCUUUUGGGGAAAGGUUUACUGCCGGAAGAUCGGCCCGCGUCUGAUUAGCUAGUUGGUGGGGUAACGGCCUACCAAGGCGACGAUCAGUAGCUGGUCUGAGAGGAUGAUCAGCCACACUGGGACUGAGACACGGCCCAGACUCCUACGGGAGGCAGUAGUGGGGAAUAUUGGACAAUGGGGGCAACCCUGAUCCAGCCAUGCCGCGUGAGUGAUGAAGGCCUUAGGAUUGUAAAGCUCUUUUAUCCGGGACGAUAAUGACGGUACCGGAGGAAUAAGCCCCGGCUAACUUCGUGCCAGCAGCCGCGGUAA
rnacentral:rRNA from 1 species